CAAUGUCAGAGUGAAGCCACAGAUAGCCAAUCUCUUGAAAGGAAGGAAACAGGGACCCUAAGAGUGAGGCCCAUGUUUGAAAGUACACAGCUGGCAGAAACUGAGGUAUGGAUUAGUUCUGAACCUCACCUGUAUCAGCUCACAUUCCAGACCUGUACCUGGGAAGCAGGGGACUGAUGCCAGAGAAAUGAGCCAAACCCAAGCAGCAGGCCCAGCCAUCUCAACUCCCUACAUGACUCUGGGCCCAUGGCUCCAGUUCUUGGAUCCUGGUUGUUAAUCUGUCAGAGUAAUUGGAACUCCAGAGAAUCUGGUGGAGCAGAUUGAACAUCUGUGGGGCAGGCUUUCUGGAUAGAACAGAGAAGCUGCUCUUUCCUCUUCUCACCAACAGGAGGCAGCAGAGAGUAGCAUAUACCUGGCCUCGACUCUACACUUCAGCAAAGCUUGGUGCCUAACUAUGCACCCGGUAGUGUUUUGUCAAUUUGACACAAGGCCAGAACCAUUUGGAAAGAAGGAUCUUCCACUGAGAAAAUCUACCCACCCAACUGGCCUGUGGGCAAGCCUGUGGAACAUUUUCUUGGCCAAUGAUGGAUGUGGGUGGGCCCAGCUUAGUAGGAGCAGCGCCAUCUCUGGGUGAGUGGUCCUGGGUGCUAUAAGAAAGCAGGCUGAACAAAUAAGGAAGAGUAAGCCAAUAGGAACGUUUCCUCCACGGCCUCUGCUUCAGUGCCUUACGCUGGCUUCCCUCGGUGAUGGAUUUGCGAGCUGUAAGACACAAUGAACCCAUUGCUUUUGGUCAUGGUGUUUAUCACAGCAGUGGAAAGAAACUUAAUGGAGGUAGUCCACUUCUUCACUUUGAUUUGUGUGAGCUCAUUACUUUUGUGGGCCUUCUUUUCCUCAUCCCCUUGGGGAUAAUAAUCCCACCUCAGGAAAAUUCCUCACAAGUCUUGUGGGAUCUCAGAUUUAAAUCACAUUGUAUAUUUAUCUAAACUCGAGGCCAUCUCUAGCCUGGUGUGUUUUAUCUGAGUUUCCUUCAAAGCUGUUCUAGGCUCAGGCUACAAAGUAGCAGAAUUACACGAAGAAUAAUAUGCAAUUUUGCUGGAAAGUUCUGAGAAAACACUUUAAAAAGAUAACCCAAACCUCCCUAGAGCUGCAAUUAGAGUGCCUUCCAUUUGCUUUACUAAUGGUUGCACCUCAGUGCGAAGGCUCUUCAGGCACAGAAAGCCCCAUCCCCAUGAAGGUCAACUUCAUGGCAUCCUUCGUCUUGACUGCAUGAUGGGCUCGUCGAGUACCUGUCACGUCACUUCCGUUGUGAUGAGUGUUCAUCAGGACUGGCUCUCCUACGAGCACAAAGAGACUCCAAGCUGUGUCUGGAGGUCCUGGAAAAUCAGCUUUUGGGUCAUAAUGUGCAUCUAAUGUACUUUUAUGCUGAUGGUAUUUGUCAUGAAGGUGAGAGGCCGUGUAUACAGAAUCAUUUCCAGGAAUAGUGAUUUAAGGACUGUACCAUUAGAACCAAACUCUCCUAGCACGUUCUCCUCUGGCCCUGCUGGUCCUGCUCUCAUCAGUAGCUCUGCACACCUCCUGCUCUGCUCUCAGUUCAUCUUUCCGCAUAUGUUUCCUGCUGUUUUCUCUUGCCCACUUUCUCCCUCCCCACAGUUAGGCUCCUGCCUGCUCUUCCCAGCCCUGCUCCUCCACAUUAUCUCUGAGCAAUCUCCUAGCUUGCUUGUUCACCCGUCUCCUCCUCUGCUCUGAAUGCAGUCCCAGCUGCUUCCAGCCUCGCCCUCAGAGCCCACCCCAGGUCCCAAGCCCAUUUCCUGGGACAGAGAGCUGCAUGCAUUUGAAUCUUUGUUUCUACUUUUGCACCAUAUUGUAGUGUGGGACACACUGUAUCACUUAUUGCAUUCAGUAUGUGUUUAAUUCCAACUGAAUUCAGUAGAUGAUUAGGGAAACUUUCAAAGUCUAGGAUUGGUGAGAAUUUCUGCAGAGAAAUGGUUUUCUGCUUGAAAUUGGAAAUGAUUUCUUUAUUAGAAUUAAAAAUGUUGGCUUCAGCCUGGAAGUCUAGAUUGUUGAUAUACGUUUAGCCAAACUUAUGCAGUGGAAUAUUAUGCAAUCAUUUGGCUUGCUGUAGAAACACAUUUAUUGCU
rnacentral:lncRNA from 1 species